rnacentral:rRNA from 1 species
CCUACGGGCGGCAGCAGUAGGGAAUCUUCCACAAUGGACGAAAGUCUGAUGGAGCAACGCCGCGUGUGUGAUGAAGGGUUUCGGCUCGUAAAACACUGUUGUAAGAGAAGAAUGACAUUGAGAGUAACUGUUCAGUGUGUGACGGUAUCUUACCAGAAAGGAACGGCUAUAUACGUGCCAGUAGCCGCGGUAAUACGUAUGUUCCAAGCGUUAUCCGGAGUUAUUGGGCGUAAAGCGAGCGCAGACGGUUGUUUAAGUUCUGAGCGAAAGCCCGCCGCUUACCUGUGGAAGUUCUUAGGAAACUGGACAACCUGAGUGCAGACGAGGAGAGUGGAAUACCAUAUGUAGAGGUGAAAUGCGUAGAUAUAUGCAAGAACCCCAGUGGCGAAGGCGGCUCUCUGGACUGUAACUGACGUUGAGGCUCGAAAGUGUGGGUAGCAAACAGGAUUAGAUACCCUGGUAGUG